rnacentral:rRNA from 1 species
UACGGGGGGAGCAAGCGUUGUUCGGAUUUACUGGGCGUAAAGGGCGCGUAGGCGGCCUGUGCAAGUCAGUUGUGAAAUCUCCGAGCUUAACUCGGAAAGGUCAACUGAUACUGCUCGGCUAGAGUGCGGAAGGGGCAACUGGAAUUCUUGGUGUAGCGGUGAAAUGCGUAGAUAUCAAGAGGAACACCUGCGGCGAAGGCGGGUUGCGUGGGCCGACACUGACGCUGAUGCGCGAAAGCUAGGGGAGCGAACGGG